GACGAACGCUGGCGGCGUGCUUAACACAUGCAAGUCGAACGGAAAUGCCCGGCUUUUGUUGGGUGCUGGAGUGGCGAACGGGUGAGUAACACGUGAGUAACCUGCCCUUGACUUGGGGAUAACUUCUGGUAACUGGGGCGAAUACCUGAUAGGAGCUCCUGCUGCAUGGGGGGGGUUGGAAAGUUUAGGCGGUUGGGGAUGGACUCGCGGCUUAUCAGCUUGGUGUUGGGGUAGUGUCUUACCAAGGCUUUGACGGGUAGCCGGCCUGAGAUGGUGACCGGCCCCAUCGGGCUUGAGCUGCGGCCCAGACUACACCGGGAGGCAGCGGUGCAGAAUAGAGCACAAUGCGAGGAGGGCAGGUCUAGUACCGCCGCGCCGGGGAUGACGGCAAUGCGGUUGUAAACCGAAUUCGCCUGUGACGAAGCGUGAGUGACGGUACUGGGUAAAGAAGCACCGGCUAACUACGUG
rnacentral:rRNA from 1 species